rnacentral:rRNA from 1 species
AAAUGGGUGGUAAAUUUCAUCUAAAGCUAAAUAUUGGCCAGAGACCGAUAGCGCACAAGUAGAGUGAUCGAAAGAUGAAAAGCACUUUGAAAAGAGAGUUAAACAGUAUGUGAAAUUGUUGAAAGGGAAGCGCUUGCAACCAGACUUGUUUAUAGGGUUCAGCCGUCGUUUUCGUCGGUGUAUUUCCCUAUUAUCAGGCCAGCAUCAGUUUAGGUGGAAGGUCAAAGGCCUUGGGAAUGUAUCAUCCUCCGGGAUGUCUUAUAGCCCUCGGUGUAAUGCUUCCCUCCCGGACUGAGGAACGCGCUUUUGCU